rnacentral:rRNA from 1 species
UGGUGAUUAUGGCGGAGGGGUCACACCUGUUCCCAUCUCGAACACAGAAGUUAAGUCCUCCAGCGCCAAAGGUACUGCGUAUUCUUUUCGUGGGAGAUUAGGUCAUUGCCG